AUGCAGGUUCUAUUUUAUUGUUCCGAGACAUAUGAUGAUAGCAUUGAGAAUGAGAAAUCUUUGCAAAAUGCACGUAUUAUUAAGGAGUUCUGGAACGAUUACUACGCUAAGUUGUUGGAUAUUGACAAAACGAAAAAGACUUCUAAUGUUGUUGGAUAUUAUGUUAGAAAGUUGUUGAUUAAUGAAAAGAAGAAUCAAAAUGGUGUGUUUUCCGAUACUGAAUUAAUAGAUUUACAGAAUCAAAUUGCAAAUUGCACAAUGAAGUUCGAUGAGGAUAAUCUAUUUAAAGUAACUCCUAACAUAGUAAAGUUCUUGAUUAAUAAAGAUCAGCCUAACGCUAAGCAAUAUCUAAAGGGUUGCCUACCAAGUAGCUUACCUAUGCUUAAGAUGUUUGGUAUCUAUACGCUUGAGGCUAUCAUGAUUCAUGUACUAGGCUUGGUAUUCAACACUCUUCAGGAAUCAUCCACAGUUAAGGAUGCUAGAUUUAUAGAUCAACUUAAUUCAACUGUACGAGAACAAGCAAGGUUUCUACAAUACAAAGCACCAGGUAGUGGUAAGGUGGAAGCAGUACUCACUAGUAAGGUAGAAUCAGUUAAGGAUGUUGUUCGGCCCAAAGGUUCCAGCAAAAAAGAGAAAAGGAAAAAAUUCAGUGUCAUUAUGAUAUCGGCAAAUACUUGCUCCAAUUCAUGA
rnacentral:rRNA from 1 species